rnacentral:lncRNA from 1 species
UGCAAAUAGAAAACUACCACAAACCUCUACCUAGGAUAGGAGAUUUUACCCAUUCCCAGCACAACAGAGAGAGGUUUGUCGGACUUCAUUCUAUUGAGGGCUGUUGCACUCCAUCCUCUGCAGAAGCUCUUAGUUCAAACUCUUGGUCUGUCCCACUGAGCUAGGCCAUGAACCAAGGGCUAGUCACUAGAAAAGACAGGCUCUGCUGUGGCCCUGCCUGGAAACAGGGGAAGGACCCUGGUGGUCCUUUGGACCAACAUCCCCGACCAGAAGCUAUUAGCCAUCUCUUCCAUGAUUUUCUCAAGUCCAAGUUUGGUAGAAGGGACUUUGACUAGUAGGAAGUUGUAUUUCCCUCUCAGAACUUCUAACUCUGUAAAACAGCAAUUGGAUUUCUGUGGCACCUGAAAUCCCUCCCAUCUGCAACUUUUUUGGAUCAUUCUCCCUACUCUCUUGAGAGUGGCUCAGCCUCUCCUCCUGACAGGUUCACAAGGUCUGCUCAGCCUGUGCACAGGCUGCCUUGGACAGCCUCUGCAGAGUCCUUCUGUGCCCGGCACCAUGCCUGCCCCUAUGCGGGUGCCAGAGAGGCAGGAGAUAGUCUUGUCUUUGUGGAGUUUACAUUCUGGCCAGAAGACCAGAAACACCAUCUGCAUGGCAGCAGCUCAUCCCCUGCUCCUUUCCUGACCGCCCUCUAAAUCACAUCCUUACUUCCAACCUGGCCUUCCCUUGGAUACCAAGGCCAGAAAGGAGUCCAUGGAGGGAUUGGGCAAGUCCAAUUCUUCUCCUAGGAGAAUAACUCAAAACUUUCUUGUUGACUCUGGACCAGUAGCAUCACCUCUGCGCAUGCAGAACAGGAUGCUGCUUCUUUCAUAACCGGAAGUCAAUUGGUAUUGUUUAAGAUACCACAGUCAAACUUUGUUCUGCCCAGUUAUGUUUUGAAAUGACAGCUCCAAUAAUAAAUUCUUAAUUAUAGUGCACUUUUAAUGAUCCAGAUGAUCCUGAUUAGACUGUGGCCAUCAGAAACUUGUGGCACUAGUUUCAGUUUGGACAGCAUAAACCCAGGUGAACCCAAGAGGAACUCAGGUGCUCUCCUCCUUAGAGGAGACCCAGUAGGGAGAAGACAGGAUCUGUUGGAGAAGGCAAGUUUCUCUGCUUGAAGUUGAGGCAGUGUGGAGAAUUUGGAGGGAAACAGGCCGCGAUUAGUGAUUGC